GAUGAACGCUGGCGGCGUGCUUAACACAUGCAAGUCGAACGGAAAGGCCCAAGCUUGCUUGGGUACUCGAGUGGCGAACGGGUGAGUAACACGUGGGUGAUCUGCCCUGCACUUCGGGAUAAGCCUGGGAAACUGGGUCUAAUACCGGAUAGGACGAUGGUUUGGAUGCCAUUGUGGAAAGUUUUUUCGGUGUGGGAUGAGCUCGCGGCCUAUCAGCUUGUUGGUGGGGUAAUGGCCUACCAAGGCGUCGACGGGUAGCCGGCCUGAGAGGGUGUACGGCCACAUUGGGACUGAGAUGCGGCCCAGACUCCUACGGGAGGCAGCAGUGGGGAAUAUUGCACAAUGGGCGCAAGCCUGAUGCAGCGACGCCGCGUGGGGGAUGACGGCCUUCGUGUUGUAAACUCCUUUCGCUAGGGACGAAGCGUUUUUGUGACGGUACCUGGAGAAGAAGCACCGGCUAACUACGUG
rnacentral:rRNA from 1 species